rnacentral:ncRNA from 1 species
GCAAUCUCGGAAUGCAUCUGGGGGAGACGCGCUGUGACCAUUCAAGCUGAUUGUGACACAGCGUAGGGUAGGUACUGAUUAAGAUAUUAAUCAGUAGACGGGAUACUAAUGCCGAACAUUGGCAUGUUAAUGGGAAACCCAACA